rnacentral:rRNA from 1 species
GAUGAACGCUGGCGGUAUGCUUAACACAUGCAAGUCGAACGGUAACAGGCCCGCAAGGGUGCUGACGAGUGGCGGACGGGUGAGGAAUACAUCGGAAUCUGCCCGGUUGUGGGGGAUAACGUAGGGAAACUUACGCUAAUACCGCAUACGACCGAAAGGUGAAAGCGUGGGAUCCGCAAGGACCUCGCGCAGCCGGAUGGGCCGAUGUCGGAUUAGCUAGUUGGCGGGGUAAAAGCCCACCAAGGCGACGAUCCGUAGCUGGUCUGAGAGGAUGAUCAGCCACACUGGGACUGAGACACGGCCCAGACUCCUACGGGAGGCAGCAGUGGGGAAUAUUGGACAAUGGGGGCAACCCUGAUCCAGCAAUGCCGCGUGUGUGAAGAAGGCC